CCCAGACUCCUACGGGAGGCAGCAGUGGGGGAUAUUGCACAAUGGGGGGAACCCUGAUGCAGCGACGCCGCGUGGGUGAAGGAGCGUUUCGGCGCGUAAAGCCCUAUCGGCAGGGAAGAAGGAGGACGGUGCCUGACUAAGAAGCCCCGGCUAACUACGUGCCAGCAGCCGCGGUAAUACGUAGGGGGCAAGCGUUAUCCGGAUUUACUGGGUGUAAAGGGGGCGCAGACGGCAGCGCAAGCCAGGAGUGAAAGCCCGGGGCCCAGCCCCGGGACUGCUCUUGGAACUGCGCGGCUGGAGUGCAGGAGGGGCAGGCGGAAUUCCUGGUGUAGCGGUGAAAUGCGUAGAUAUCAGGAGGAACACCGGUGGCGAAGGCGGCCUGCUGGACUGCGACUGACGUUGAGGCCCGAAAGCGUGGGGAGCAAACAGGAUUAGAUACCCGUGUAC
rnacentral:rRNA from 1 species